CCUACGGGUGGCAGCAGUGAGGAAUCUUGGUCAAUGGGCGCGAGCCUGAACGAGCCAAGUCGCGUGAAGGAUGACUGCCCUACGGGUUGUAAACUUCUUUUAUAAAGGAAUAAAGUGAUGAACGUGUGCCUUUUUGUAUGUACUUUAUGAAUACGGAUCGGCUAACUCCGUGCCAGCAGCCGCGGUAAUACGGAGGAGCCGAGCGUUAUCCGGAUUUAUUGGGUUUAAAGGGAGCGUAGAUGGGUUGUUAAGUUAGUUGUGAAAGUUUGCGGCUCAACCGUAAAAUUGCAAUUGAUACUGGCAGACUUGAGUGCAGUUGAGGUAGGUGGAAUUCGGGGUGUAGCGGUGAAAUGCUUAGAUAUCACGAAGAACUCCGAUUGCGAAGGCAGCCUACUAAUCUGCCACUGACAUUGAUGCUCGAAAGUGUGGGUAGCAAACAGGAUUAGAUACCCUUGUAGUC
rnacentral:rRNA from 1 species